CUGAAAACACGCCUCAAGGUGUCACAUUACUGUCUGACGCACAGGAAGAGGUGGUGAAGCUGGCUAUCACUUUGUUGACUUGGCUUUUUCCUUGCAUAUGGUCACCAAGUAACCAUGAAAACAUAGGCCAGGAAAGAGCAAACAAUAUCAAACAAAAUUUGCCAAGUCGGAGCAGAAGGAGUGCUUUGGUAGGAACUGGGGUGGGGCCUCUCUCAAUAGCCCCAAUAAGCCCCGCCCACCAGACUUAUUUAAAGGUAGCGGAGGGUGUUCACAACUUAAUCCACAUACUCUACAGUCUGCAGGCUGCAGUAAUUAUCCAAGACAGCUGCUUUGAAGUUCAAAAUCUCCUCCUCCUCGAGGGAGAAGCUCCGC